AUUUAGUGAGGAGGACACUUUCUCAAUAGUUCCUUGAAACUUUCCCACGCAUCAUGCAAUGAUUCUUCAUCAUUUUAGUAGGAUUAUUGAUUUCACCCCUUAAUUU